ACCUGGUUGAUCCUGCCAGUAGUCAUAUGCUUGUCUCAAAGAUUAAGCCAUGCAUGUCUAAGUUCAAACUUAAUUGACAGUGAAACCGCGAAUAGCUCAUUAAACCAGCUAUAAUUUAUUGGAUCUUGCACUAUAGUUGGAUAACUGUGGCAAAUCUAGAGCUAACACAUGCAAUAGAGCUUUUUGGAUUUCCGUUAAAAGAAGUCAGAGAAGGGCAAUUGUUAGUAAAAUAACCAAUCAGAGGAUAUUUAUAGACUCUGGUUAUUGGUGACUCUGGACAAUUUUGCCGAUCGUAAGGCCUAGAGCCGACGAUAGAUCCUUCAAGUGUCUGCCCUAUCAACUUUCGAUGGUAGGGUAUCGGCCUACCAUGGUUGUAACGGGUAACGGAGAAUCAGGGUUCGAUUCCGGAGAGGGAGCCUUAGAAACAGCUCCUACUUCCAAGGAGGGCAGCAGGCGCGCAAACUACCCAAUCCCGGUUCGGGGAGGUGGUGACGAAAAAUGUCGGACGAGUCAACCUUUGGUUUGCUCGAUCGAGAUGGAGAUUGAAAUAAAAACUCUAACGAAAGCAAUUGGAGGGCAAGUCUGGUGCCAGCAGCCGCGGUAAUUCCAGCUCCAAUAGCGUAUAUUAAAGUUGUUGCAGUUAAAACGCUCGUAGUUGGAAUUAGGAUUGCUAAUUUUUUGUCAUCAUGUGACGAAUCAUUAUGAAUCCCUAUGUUAGUUGUUUUCAGUUCUCUUUAUUGAGUGCUGUGAAUGACUACAAAUUUUACUUUGAAAAAAUUAGAGUGCUCAAAGCAGGCCGUAAGUGUCUGGAUGUUGUUGCAUGGGAUAAUGGAAUAGGACCUCUGUUCUAUCUGUUGGUUGAUGAACUUGAGGUAAUGAUUAAGAGGGACAGUCGGGGGCAUUCAUACUGCAGCGUUAGAGGUGGAAUUCUUGGAUCGCUGUAUGAUGAACAACUGCGAAAGCAUUUGCCAAGAAUGUUUUCAUUAAUCAAGAACGAAAGUCAGAGGCGCGAAGACGAUCAGAUACCGUCGUAGUUCUGACCGUAAACCAUGUCGACUAACGAUUCGCUCAGUUCCAACUAAUAAUCGGUCUGAGUGAGGAGUUUACGGGAAACCAAAGUUUUUGGAUUCCGGGGGAAGUAUGGUUGCAAAGCUGAAACUUAAAGGAAUUGACGGAAGGGCACCACCAGGAGUGGAGCCCGCGGCUCAAUUUGACUCAACACGGGAAAACUUACCCGGACUGGACACUGGAAUGAUAGACAGAUUGAUGGCUCUUUCUUGAUUCAGUGAUUGGUGGUGCAUGGCCGUUCUUAGUUGGUGGAGCGAUUUGUCUGGUUAAUUCCGAUAACGAACGAGACUCUAGCCUGCUAAAUAGGAUAAUGACUGCUUUCAGUUUAAAUUGAAAAUCAGUGGUCAUGUAUUCUUCUUAGAGGGACUGGUGUUCGGCUUAAUAAUGUAGACACACGAAAUAGAGCAAUAACAGGUCUGUGAUGCCCUUAGAUGUCCGGGGCUGCACGCGCGCUACACUGAAGGAAUCAUUGGGUGUAUUUGUCCUAACCCGAGAGGGUAUGGAAAUCCGUGAAACUCCUUCGUGAUAGGGAUUGUGCGAUGUAAUUGCGCACAUGAACGAGGAAUUCCUUGUAAGCGCGAGUCAUUAGCUCGUGUUGAAUACGUCCCUGCCCUUUGUACACACCGCCCGUCACUACUACUGAUUGAAUGGUUUAGUGAGGUCAUUGGAUUGAUCUCCUUGUGUUGAUUAAUUGAUACGAUGGAGAUUUGAGUAAGAUGAUCGAACUUGGCCAUUUAGAGGAAGUAAAAGUCGUAACAAGGUUUCCGUAGGUGAACCUGCAGAAGGAUCAAGC
rnacentral:rRNA from 13 species